AAAGUAUGCGGACACAUGCUGCCUCCAGCUGAGACUAAGCAGAUGUUAGACAUGUUUUUGCACUUAGUAACUGUUGAAUUGUAUCAUUGCGACGGUGCUUUCGAUUAUUGGGGGAAAGGGACCGCCGUCACCGUGUCAUCUGGUGUUAAAGAAGCUCCAACUGCCGUUGUGACAGCAAAACUCGAGCCGCCUAAAGGUGUUAAAGAAGCUCCAACUGCCGUUGUGACAGCAAAACUCGAGCCGCCUAAACUCGUAAUCAAGUCCGCCGCUCUUUAUCUAAUGAUCCCGACUGAGGACCAGCUAAAGCACAACAAGACCGCUUCCUUUGCCUGCUUUGCCAGCGAAUUUUUUCCCAAGGAACUCACUUUUACAUGGAGCAAGAAUGGCAAGGUGUUGACUGGUGACAUCACAACCCUGCCCGUGGUGGAAAUUAGCGGAAACUACAGCGUCUCCAGCUUUCUGCAUCUUUCUGAAAAUCAGUGGAAAUCUGGAGACAACGUCUCCUGUGCAAUUAAACACCCAGGCGGAGACUUCGUAAGGACGGCCAUUUACAAAAAUCCCUCUAGCGAUUGUGGAGGAAUUCCCGUUCAGGUGACAAUCCCCGAACCAUCCACCACGGAGCUGUUCCUGCAUGGCCGGGUGGAGCUGAAAUGCCAAAUCACCGGGGAAUUGGGAGUCGUCAGCGAUGUUGAGUGGCGAAAUGGAGAUGGCACGGUCCUCGUGUCCGACAGCAAAGUUGUGGGAAAUUCCCGAAUCGUAACGCUCCUGGCCAAGAAAGACGACUGGGCCAAUGGAACAAAGUACACAUGCAUAGUGAUGCACGAUUGUUCCGGACCUCCAAUUUCCACGCCCUACAGUCGAGAUAUCGAAGACUGCAACUCCAUUGAUGUGGAGGAUGACUCCGGCGCAGCCGACACUGCCAUUGCCUUCAUCUUCCUCUUCCUCAUCUCUCUGUUCUACAGCAUCGGAGCUACUGCCAUCAAGGUGAAAUGAGAGACACACAAGAAGAAACCUGGUUGUGUGCUUAUGUGUGUGUGUGUGUGUUCUGCUAGUGCAAAUAUCUCUUAUAGACAUGACAUGAUCUUAUAUAAGCAUGAUUUUCUACUGAAACAGUCCUCUGUGUUUGUAAAUGACAAAAUAAUAUGAUAUCCUGUGAUGUUACUCUGUACAUAUUUCACUGUAACUCCAAAUAUUUCAAAUAAAACAUGUCGCUUGCCUGUCUUUGAAAAAGACAAA